CAGGCCUGCGGACGCCCGGCUCUGCGGCCCGCACGGCCCGGCCCGGCCGCGCUCCUGCGAGGAAACGGCGUCUCCGAACUUCGUCGGAGGCCACAGCAGGCAUCUUGGCCUCGCGGCCGGGGAUCUGAGAGAGGAACGCAGGACCCGAGGAAACUUUGUAAGCGGGAGCCGGCGAGUCCUCGGCCGGCGUGUGGAGAUCCGCAUUCCCGGCUCCGUGUCCGUGGUCGGGACACCUGUUUGUGGAGUGCCCCAACUUCAAGUUUUAAUCGCUUGACUCUUCGAGAGAGAGAGAGAGAGAGAGAGAGAGAGAGAGAGAGAGAGAUGAGGAAUUUCAUACAAGAGGGGAGGGGGGUGGGGCGGCGAGAAGACCGGCCCUGAGGUACACGUUACACUUUCGGAGAAGGAGCCCCAGUGUGAUCGACUGAACAUUGGAUUUGGUCGCUGAUUCCCAUCCCUCAGGUGGGCUUUGUGACCUGAGGCAACCUAGGUUUCCCAGUAAUCCUGCUAAAGAGAAUCUGUAGGUGCAGGCUCUGAACUUCAGUCAGGUGAGACUGAGCUUAUUGCGGUGUUAGAAUCACUGAAAAGCACUCAUGAAUCGUAGGAGGACUAACCACAAACAAGAGGCGGCUCAUCCCUCCGGAGACAAGACUCCUAAAACUCACUCCACAGCACAUACAGUAAAAGGACAAAAACAAACAUGAAGCCAAUGUAUAGUCCUAACAGCUACGUAACAGGCAAGCACCUCAGAAGCAGCUUUAAAAGGAUAUGGAUGUCCAGGGGACAAUUUUCACCCUUUCUCUAGUAAGUUUUGAGGAAAUGUCUCAGAAGAUGGAGACUGAGGAAAAUUUUGUACAGGAGGCACAUAGGAGGGGAAGCCCAUCCUCCUCCCCACCCUUCAGCAGCUAGAAUGCAAGCUCCCUGCAGGCAGGAAUUUCAUCCAGUUCACUACUGUCUCCUCUGGUCCCUAACAAUGAUGGGCAAGUGUUCAACAUUUUCUGUUGUUGUUGAAUGAACGUGUGAAUUAGACUGAAAAUGGCUCUGGGAUGACAGGAUUGACGGUUUUGUUGAGUGUGAUAAAGCCUAAGCUAAUUUUAUGAUAAAGCAAAACCCUAUACCUUACAGGGUGUUGAGAGAUGUACUUUGGAAAUAUCAGCCAAUAUGGAAAUGUAGAGUUUUCUUUAUAUAAACCUAAGUGCGAGGAGAGUGGUUGAGCAAAAUCAUUGCUGAGAGAUUUUGAAUUCUUUAUUGUAAUUCCCUAAAGGUAGACACUCAGAAAUAAUAUGUAAAUCAAGAGAAGCGAAUUGGCCGGUUUCUAACGAUUUAUCAAGAAUAAAAAGACCAUCUUACUCAGCGAUGGAUUUUUAGAUUGAUUUGACUUCCAAAUUCUGACUACUUACUUGCUACAUACCAGAAUUACUUGGAGGGCAUUCUAAAAUUUUACAUUCCCUAGGGGUUCUCCCUCCCUCUGGGCCUGCUGUUUCCCCUGCUAGUCCUCUCUCUCCCUCUCUCUCUCUCUGUCAAAUAAAUACAUAAAAUCUUUUUAAAAAAUAAAAUUUCAGAUUCCCAAACCUCU